AGUUUCAUUAUGUGCCGGCCAUUUUCACGCAGUGAAAGAGCUAGUGUCUCACUUAAAUGAUCAUAUUGGAGAGGGCAGGUCUGUGUCAUGUCCAGACAGUCCUGCUAUUCCUCAACAAGGUACAUGCUGAGUCUGGAUCGGAACCUUGUCAACACAAACAUCUCCUCCUUCAUUUCUGCAUUGUGCCUCAUGUUCGGGAGCUACUACAUUUUCAACAUCCAUUAUCCAUCUGAGCUGGCUUCAACUCUGGAGUUCCUUCAAAGGUGAGUAAUCAUGGCUUACUAAUUUCUCAGACCUGAGACUGUGGGACCUGGAGUCUGGCUCAGAGGUUCCCGUCUUAAAGGAGAAUGCCGGCCGUUUGUAAUCAAUAGCCCUGUUGAUUUGAGGCUACAAGUGCUGCAGUAGGAAAAAUAACGUGAACAUUUGGCUCAAUAUUUACCGAGUAUCAGAACGACAGCUAAAGCAAACC
ensembl:lncRNA